rnacentral:rRNA from 1 species
CAGCAGUAGCCGCGGUAACACGGAGGGUGCAAGCGUUAAUCGGAAUUACUGGGCGUAAAGCGCACGCAGGCGGUCUGUCAAGUCAGAUGUGAAAUCCCCGGGCUUAACCUGGGAACUGCAUUUGAAACUGGCAGGCUAGAGUCUUGUAGAGGGGGGUAGAAUUCCAGGUGUAGCGGUGAAAUGCGUAGAGAUCUGGAGGAAUACCGGUGGCGAAGGCGGCCCCCUGGACAAAGACUGACGCUCAGGUGCGAAAGCGUGGGGAGCAAACAGGAUUAGAUACCCCGGUAGUCCCUGUCUCUUAUAC